rnacentral:rRNA from 1 species
UACGUAGGGGGCGAGCGUUGUCCGGAAUUAUUGGGCGUAAAGAGCGUGUAGGCGGUUCGGUAAGUUUACUGUGAAAUCCUGGGGCUCAACCGUGGGCGUGCAGCGGAUACGGGCGGGCUAGAGGAUGGUAGAGGCGAGUGGAAUUCCGAGUGUAGCGGUGAAAUGCGCAGAUAUUCGGAGGAACACCAGUAGCGAAGGCGGCUCGCUGGGCCAUAACUGACGCUGAGACGCGAAAGCGUGGGGAGCGAACAGG